rnacentral:lncRNA from 1 species
AAUAACAACACCCCCACCCCGGCCAGGACUAGUAGAUCCCCUUUAUUACGUGACCACAUUUUCAGUAUGAAACAAUUUUCUUUGUAUUUGAUGGUUGUCUUUGCUCUGCUGUAAGUGUUGCCUGACACGAAUUUCCGCUCAUUUUUCUUUUUGUAUUUGUCCUUUGACUAUUGUGAGCAAAAAUGUAUACAUUCUCUAUCUUUUUAGUGUACUUCUGUUUUUGUGUAUAACCUGAUUUAGAUUUAAAAUUUUUAUGAGUGUUCAUUUGCAUAUAUAUAUGUGUAUAUAUAUUAUAUAUAUAUGCAUGUGUAUGUGCACGAUGUGCAUGCAGUGCCCACAAAGGCCAGAAGAGGGCAUUGGAACCCCAGGAACUGAAGUUACCAAUGAUUGUGAGCAACUGUGUUGGUGCUGGGAACCUACACCAGAUCCUCUUCAAGAGGAGCAGGUGUUCUUAAUUGGUGAACCGCCUCUCCAGCCUAUAGUUGGGUCUUGCUUUGAUGUUCCAAAUCUGUUUAUCUCUGCCACUUUCUCUCUCUCUCUCUCUCUCUCUCUCUCUCUC